rnacentral:rRNA from 1 species
CAAGUCUGGUGCCAGCAGCCGCGGUAAUUCCAGCUCCAAUAGCGUAUAUUAAAGUUGUUGCAGUUAAAAAGCUCGUAGUUGAAUUUCGGGACCAAUAUUUCGGUCAUGCCGUUGGUAUGCACUGUUAUCAUUGAUUUCUCACCUUCUAAAGAACCGUAAUGCCAUUAAUUUGGUGUUACGGGGAAUUAGGACUGUUACCUUGAAAAAAUUAGAGUGUUUAAAGCAGGC